UAAAUUUUUAAACGUCUCAAUUUCCAAUUAACAAUCCCACACUUCUGCAUCACCUACUAAGAGGAAGCAUUAAAAACUCUAAUUCCCCACAACAAACAACUUACCAACGGUAUAUUUCCAGCACAAUAAUUCCUCUGGUACAAGCGAAGCAGAUAAAAAACAAUAAUGGCGGGCCCGUGGGAGCGUGGAGGAAGGAGGAGAUAGAUGGAAGAAAAAACUUCUGCAAUUAGAUCUGAUAUGAUACAGAAAUGGUCCUACCUAGGGCUUGACAAGGCACAAAAGAAGUAAGUUUUUUAAUGCUUUCUUUUCGUUUGGCGUAGCGUGCAACACUGGGCGAUCAGAGUUGGUGGUGGGAUGCGUGAGAAGCAAGUGCACGGGAAACUCCAUGCUUUCACACUUUAAAUACCAUGUGGUCUGCUAUUUGGAAGUCAGAUGUUCAAAACCUGCUGAAACAGGGAAGGUAUUUUCAGGUUUUAGGGGUUUUUGCAGAUAGAUAUCAUAGAUUGAAAGAGUUUUUUUAUCUAUAAUUAGAUGAGUUUGAUUUUGUUAGUAAUUUCUUCAAAAUCAUCGUAAUACUUGAAUAUUUCAAGUUGGAUUGUUUGACUUAUUAACAACUGAUAUUGAUAUCUCUAAAGAUGAUAAAGUAAGAACAAUUUAUGAUGGUUUUUAUAUUUCAA